ensembl:lncRNA
GUUAUGGUCAAUUUUAGGGUUUGAUUUAACUUAAUUAAACAUUGUAUUCUGGUGUGUUUAAGUAGGAUUCCUUAUUCCGGGACGGAUGGAAGUUAUCUAAAAUAUGUAAAUUGAAGGAGCCAUGGGAGAAUGCGUUUACAUUUUUAUUAAAUAUCUGGGAUUAAAUGACGGAUUUCUUACACUGAGAAAUGUACGACAUUUGCGGCAGAGGGAAAAAGUAAUACAUUGGAUAAUAAUGUUAUCAGGUUAAUUGUAUCUAAGGGUAGCAUUGGAUAAUAAUGUUAUCAGGUUAAUUGUAUCUAAGGGUAGCAUUGUAUAAUAAUGUUAUCAGGUUAAUUGUAUCUAAGGGAAGCAUUGUAUAAUAAUGUUAUCAGGUUAAUUGUAUCUAAGGGAAGCAUUGGAUAAUAAUGUUAUCAGGUUAAUUGUAUCUAAGGGAAGCAUUGGAUAAUAAUGUUAUCAGGUUAAUUGUAUCUAAGGGGAACAUUGGAUAAUAAUGUUAUCAGGUUAAUUGUAUCUAAGGGAAGCAUGUUCAUUUAAGUAAACAUAUACAUUGACGUUGUUUAAAACUUAUGAUUAAUGAUUUGAGUUAAAGGGGAAUCAUCAUUAGGUUUAGUUUAUAGUUCACUUUUGAGUUUCUGAAUCGAAGUAGAAAAUUGAUGUUUAGGUGUCUCACUUUUAGAUGUUUCCUGGGAUUAUAAUCUUGGGGAGAGUGGGUGAGAUUGAG